AAUAUAUUUAAGCACGUGCGAAGCAUGAGUGGUUAAGGCGACAUGAUCUUAAUCAUUUGGUAAUGGUGGACAUGUGGCUCGUCCUUUGGAGAGGCUAUUUUAGUUGAUGAAUCUUAGGAUUGGGAAGGUUUCACGUGAGGCUUAGGGAAGUAAUGUAGUUACUGAGUUGAGGCAUUAGUAUAAGUAUUAGUUGCAAUUAUUUUCUUUUCCUUUACCAUUAUUGUUUCACUUCUCAUUGCACUUUCAGAUACAUAAUCGCCCAAAAUUUUGCGUUGCACUUUUCUCUCUUGCAAAUGAUUUUUUUGCACCUUAUCUUCUUGAAUUCGAUUUUGAAAAUCAUUCAACUUUUGUACCUUUAUUUCUUGAGUCUCCUUUUGCUUAUCAUCAUUAACAUUGUCAUGUUCUAAAUAUUAUGGGAUUGGAAUAAAAUGAGAGUGUGGGUUUGUUCCAUAGUAUGCUCUUAACUUGGACAAGUGAAAAAAUAAGGUGUAUGUUUAACGACUUUGGAAGGUACUAUUUGUAAGCUACUAAACCAACACACUGAAGCAUCUUGAGAGGACCAAAAUAUUUUUUUGAAAGUUUCUGAGAUAAGUCACAAUUUUCAAAGGCAUUGUUGAUCUUGUCUUUAUUUGCUUGAUCUGACAUUUUUUGUUGAUUUCUCUUCAAGUUGUCCUUUAAAGUGUUACAUAUUUAUUAUUUGUUUUUCAAAAUAGUUUUUAUAGCAAACAAGGUAAAAAAACCUUAUACAUAGUUUGGGAGAGCCGGGUGUGGGAAUCCAUAAAAGGCUUCAAAAGAAGAUAUCUUGAUGGCCAAGUGAAAAGAAGUAUUAUACCAAUAUCCAGCCCGAUGCAAAUACUUGUACCACAUGAGUGGAUGAUCACUUGCAAAAUAGUGGAGGCCACAAAUCUCAACAGAAAAAUGUUUGGUGAGACUAUGGGCAGAGAACUUGGUUAGAAAUGCAACAAAGUGAACAAGCUUUGUAAGGCGGUCACAAAUGAUCCAUAUCAUUGUACGCUCAAAAGAUGAAGAUCUGGGAGUGUUAUACAAAAAUCUUGACAUCCUUCUGAAUUACCGACCAAAGGAAGGAUGCUGAAAGGAGAGCUACUGUUGGUUGAAGUCCUGAGUGACCUGCAGUAGGAGUUAAAUGGUACUUGUGGAUGAUAUCAUGUUAAAGCUCUUCCAUCAGUGGUAUGAAAGUUUUGUCCUUAUAAUAUAAAAUAUGAUCUUUUAAUCUAAACAGUUGUUGCAUGUGCGGGUCUGAACGAUAUUUUGCCAUCAAUUUCUGACCCUCCUUUUGUUUGUAAUAGUAUUUCCUGAGUUGAUCUAGAAGUAACGAGACCGGCUAUGAUAUUUUAAGCAAGAUAGAUUUGUCCUAUAUGUGUUUUCGGCUAAGUGCAUUAGCCACCUAAUUUGCCUUCCCAGAUUUGUAGAAUAUUUUGAAACUGAAACCUUUUGGCUUUGAGUCCCAUUUUUGUUGUUCUAGGUUCGAAUUGUUUAGACCAACAAAAAUUUAAAACUCUUUUGGUAUGUGAAUAUGUGAAAAUGCCUUCUAAUUAAAUAUUGAUGCUAUUUUUUACAACUUAUGUCAUGGUGUACAUCUCGCGAACAUAUACAGACGAAGCUUGCAUAUUGCUGCACAUCUUUUUGUUGCAGAAUUCCAAAGGGGGACCCUCUUGAGAUAAAACAUCACCGGUAGCCACAACACAUACACAUAUAUGUUUCAAGUAUGAAGAUAUUGGAAAAGUCUGGAAGAGCCAAAAUUGGAGUUUCAGACAUUUAUCUUUAAAGUGUUGUAAAUGUUGUAUUGGAUAAUGUACUCCAUGAAAACUAACAAAUUAGUGAGUGGAGCAGCGUGAGAGGAGUAAUGGCAGACAAAUUGUCAAUAAAAGUCGGUGACACCUAAAAAACCCUUGAGCA